rnacentral:lncRNA from 1 species
GUUGAAGUGAACUUGAAGUAGCUUGGGAAAUAAGCUACCUCUUUCCUAAUGAGUUUAGGAAUAGAAAAGAUAAAUAUGAUUAAGAGUUAUCUACUAAAGUGUUAUCCUAAUGAGUUUAGGAACUUAGUUUUAUAUAUAAGGAUAUGCAAGAGUGUUGCAUAACUUAAGAGUUGUGUGAGCUUUAGUUUUGAGUUAUUUUCUAAAGCAUUGAGUGAGGUUUAUAAUAAAGAGUUUCGAGUUCUUAAUAAACCUUGAGUCUGAGAUCGUUGAGUUAC